AAUAGGCUGUAAUGUUGGAGUUUCAGGUAUUCAAACGCUACCUUUUCCCGGCCAACGUUGCGAGCAGUGUCAUAAGGUCAGGCCGUCAGGGUGUUAACGACUACUACCUCCAUUCUCCACCAAGAGAGAGAGAGAGAGAGAGAGAGAGAGAGAAUGCCUUCCCUUCAAACGGCGCUCCCUCCUGACCUCGCCAACAAUGUCAUCAGACUCUAUCGGGAAUGCCUCAGAAGGGCAAAAUUCGUUGGUCAUCGGAUGGGGUUAUUGAUGGUUAAAAUGGAAAUAUCUUCAUUUAUCCCCGAUAUUUCUUCGUG